rnacentral:rRNA from 1 species
AGAUUGAACGCUGGCGGCAGGCCUAACACAUGCAAGUCGAGCGGUAGAGAGGUGCUUGCAUCUCUUGAGAGCGGCGGACGGGUGAGUAAUGCCUAGGAAUCUGCCUAGUGGUGGGGGAUAACGUUCGGAAACGGACGCUAAUACCGCAUACGUCCUACGGGAGAAAGCGGGGGACCUUCGGGCCUCGCGCCAUUAGAUGAGCCUAGGUCGGAUUAGCUAGUUGGUGAGGUAAUGGCUCACCAAGGCGACGAUCCGUAACUGGUCUGAGAGGAUGAUCAGUCACACUGGAACUGAGACACGGUCCAGACUCCUACGGGAGGCAGCAGUGGGAAUAUUGGACAAUGGGCGAAAGCCUGAUCCAGCCAUGCCGCGUGUGUGAAGAAGGUCUUCGGAUUGAAAGCACUUUAAGUUGGAGGAAGGUUGUAACCUAAUACGUUGCAACUUUGACGUUACGACAGAAUAAGCACGGCUAACUCGUGCCAGCAGUCGA